rnacentral:rRNA from 1 species
UACGGGGGGGGCAAGCGUUGUUCGGAAUUACUGGGCGUAAAGGGCUCGUAGGCGGCCAACUAAGUCGGAUGUGAAAUCCCCAGGCUUAACCUGGGAACUGCAUCCGAUACUGGAUGGCUUGAAUCCGGGAGAGGGAUGCAGAAUUCCAGGUGUAGCGGUGGAAUGCGCAGAUAUCAGGAGGAACACCAACGGCGAAGGCAGCUCGCUGGGACGGUACUGACGCUGAGGCGCGAAAGCGUGGGGAGCGAACAGG